GUGUUGAGGUUGCCAUCUUUUAUCUGGUGACACGCGGCCUUGAAUUGCAUUAUGAAUCAGGGAGCCUUCCAAGCUGAAUACGCGGGUUCGAUUCCCGCUACCCGCUCCA
rnacentral:tRNA from 1 species